rnacentral:lncRNA from 1 species
UGAAAUAAUUUAAAGAUUAAAUUUCUUUGAUAGCCAUAACUCAUUUAAAUUGGCAACAUGCACACAGAUUGAUUACUGGACAUAUCUGCUUUAAUUUUAUGUUGUUUCAAGCAUCUAAACUUCACAUGAACUUCUUUUCUUUGACAGGUCCCCUAGGAAUCUUGUUGAGAAAUUUAGAAUCCAAUGUGCUGAACAAUCUCCUCAGGUCUUGGUUUCCUUUACUUGCUAGAUAAUCCACCUCAUAUUCAUACCGCUCAUACAUAACAGGAACUGUCACGAAGCACAAAAACACUGGAAAAAAGAAUAGUCAACAAUUAUUAUAAGCAAAGCUCAAUUAGGAAGCUUAAUUCAUAUAUAACUAUGCCAUAAGAAAAUAAAAAUUGGAAGGUGUUUGGGAAUUGGGAUCUCACUGAGGUAUAGAAGAUUAGCAAUGGUGAAGUAAUUCCCAAUAAUUGAAACGAUCACGAGACCAGAUAUUGUCUGAAAUUCAAUCAGUUAACAAAUACAUUAAUUAAUUAACAAAAUAUGGGUGUGUUGGUAGAAAUUACUUAUUAGAAUAAGUGAAAAAUGGUUUGUUAAUUUGUUAAUACCACAAAGAAGAGUUUCAGGUCUUGGCCAGUUGAAAUUUCGUAAAAUUUCCUCAAGAACAAGUUGAGCUUUGUGUGGAAAUAUCUAAUGGUGGAUUCUGGGAUUGCAAUAUCGUUGAUUUUAGGAAUUCUCCUGCAAUUAAUAAACAUGAUUUUAACUAUGGUUUGCACAAACAAAUUAAUUUACGCAACUAAGUGUAAGGUUUCAUUUUGAUUAAUUACCAUGUGACUAGUCCAGCUGCAUUGUACCAAAUGAAGAGGAUUAGCAUAAAGGCUAUGAGGGUGUGACAAACCAAAGUAAGAAGAUUGUAUUCAGCAACUUCAAACAGAAACCAAACAAUGGAGAACCCAGCUACUACUGCUGCUGAUGUUACCUUGUCUGUCCAUAGCAACACAUCAGCAACUGCAAAAAAAUUAAAAAUAAAUAAAUAAAUAGAAAGAAAUGUUGUUUACUUUUUGUUUGGUCUUUGCCUUUGGAAUAUGAGCAAUAAUGCACCCAAUGUUUUGGGGUUUAGUGCAUGUUCGCUCAACUUGGCCCAAGCCCAACCACAUCAAACCAUUAUUUUGGAAUAGAGGUCAUAGGAGACAAGCUUUCUACCAAUCAUGAUAUUGAACAGUUUCAAGUUAUGAUUUCAGCUUGUCAUCUUCCUCCCUUUUGUCCAUUAAUAAAGUAAGAAAAAAAAAGAGAAAAAAGAAUAUAAUGUGAUAAGAAGACAAAAAUAAAGGAAAAAUUUGAGAUUUGGAUUUGUUGUUGGUGAUUUUUCCUAAAUUUAUUGUAGUCAGGAUCGAUAUCUUUUGCGUGAUGAUGAAACAUCUUUCUAUUUAAAGAUUCAAAUUGUCUAUUUGAUGAUGAAGUUUUAAAUUUGGUGCAUAGAAUCUUGAUCCAACAACUAUUGAACCCUAACUAAAGGGAAUUUACGAAAGUUUGAUUGUAUGUGACUCAAAUAUGAAAUUUAAGAUGCAACUCUAAAAAUUUCAAUGAACAGUGAUAUGUGAAAUCAUCGUUGAUAUUAUUGAAAAAGCAAUGACAGAGUAACAUGACAAGAAGAAUUUAGAGACAUUAAUAAUGAAGGAGACAUGAUGAGGUGAGGUUUUAAAAAUAGCUUACUCUUUCCUCCGCCAAGGAGUGCGUGGAGUGGUGUUUGAUGGCUGAUCAAACCUGAUAAUGAAAAUCUUAAAUAAAUUUAUUUUUUUCCACCAAAACUUAUCCGAAGUCCCUAAAAACAUUGGAAUUACUACAUGUUUUCAGAAGAAGAAGAAAAAAACCUAGUAGUUUGACCCAUCCGACUAUUGGUCCACCGGAUUGGUGAGUUUUUUUUAUUACAAGAUUGGUGAGUUUAAUGAGAUUCUACGUAUAACUUGAGUAUUUGUAUUAGAAUUCUGUCAGACGUAGCAACUAAAACAUAUAUUCAGGAAUUUAAACAUUCAACUGCAGGAAAUCGGCAACAUGCACUGAAAUAAUUUAAAGAUUAAAUUUCUUUGAUAGCCAUAACUCAUUUAAAUUGGCAACAUGCACACAGAUUGAUUACUGGACAUAUCUGCUUUAAUUUUAUGUUGUUUCAAGCAUCUAAACUUCACAUGAACUUCUUUUCUUUGACAGGUCCCCUAGGAAUCUUGUUGAGAAAUUUAGAAUCCAAUGUGCUGAACAAUCUCCUCAGGUCUUGGUUUCCUUUACUUGCUAGAUAAUCCACCUCAUAUUCAUACCGCUCAUACAUAACAGGAACUGUCACGAAGCACAAAAACA